AGAGUUUGAUCCUGGCUCAGAAUCAACGCUGGCGGCGUGCCUCAGACAUGCAAGUCGAACGAUUAAACUCGUCUUCGGACGAGAUAUAAAGUGGCGCACGGGUGAGUAACGCGUAGGUAAUCUACCUUUGAGUGGGGAAUAACUUAGGGAAACUUAAGCUAAUACCGCAUAAUGCAGCGGCACCUUCGGGUGACAGUUGUUAAAGGAGCAAUCCGCUUAAAGAGGAGCCUGCGGCAGAUUAGCUAGUUGGUAAGGUAAUGGCUUACCAAGGCGACGAUCUGUAACCGACCUGAGAGGGUGGUCGGUCACACUGACACUGAAUAACGGGUCAGACUCCUACGGGAGGCAGCAGUCGGGAAUUUUGGGCAAUGGGCGAAAGCCUGACCCAGCAACGCCGCGUGAAGGAUGAAGUAUUUCGGUAUGUAAACUUCGAAAGAAUGGGAAGAAUAAAUGACGGUACCAUUUAUAAGGUCCGGCUAACUACGUGCCAGCAGCCGCGGUAAUACGUAGGGACCAAGCGUUGUUCGGAUUUACUGGGCGUAAAGGGCGCGUAGGCGGCGUGUUAAGUCAGCUGUGAAAUCUCCGAGCUUAACUCGGAACGGUCAGCUGAUACUGAUGUGCUAGAGUGCAGAAGGGGCAAUCGGAAUUCUUGGUGUAGCGGUGAAAUGCGUAGAUAUCAAGAGGAACACCUGAGGUGAAGACGGGUUGCUGGGCUGACACUGACGCUGAGGCGCGAAAGCUAGGGUAGCAAACGGGAUUAGAUACCCCAGUAGUCC
rnacentral:rRNA from 1 species